AUAUUGGUUUUUUUCAAAACCAUAUACCACAUUCUUUACACUUUAG
rfam:Ailuropoda melanoleuca scaffold989_20, whole genome shotgun sequence.